CACAAACAGCUGCUGCUGAUUCGCUGACAUGUUGUCUGAUUUAUUCAUAUUUCACUUUAAUGUUUGUGUUCAGUAACAAAGUUUCCUGAAAUACGCAGCUUUUAUUUUGGUAAUGCACUUCUGCUUAUCAGAAAGAAUUUGUAAACUUAAAUAUGUAGCUGGCUAACUAAAUAUUUGGUUUGAAGCUAAAUAAAUAUUUACCUUUGAACUUUGACAUUUAUAAAUGAAUGAAUAAUAACACGGUGAAAAUUAGAAUGAAAAUUAUUGAUCUUUUUUUCUCUCAUUACAGAUUAAAUAGACCAAAUAAUUGCUGGUUGUUUCUGAUUGGAUAACUCUACAGAAAUCUGCCUCUGAUUCAGAACUGAUUCCUUUGGAGCAAUGAAAAAAAUAAUUCUCAUGUUUUCAUAUUUUCAUGUUUCAGGUUCUGCCUUCCCAUCUAAGAGGUGAUAUUAAUCGAAAUAUCUCCCAAAGAUCCUGUUGACUCUCAAACAUUCGUCACAACCAGUAGAUGGCGCUGGAACGCAGGAACUGCAGCUUCUAGGCAGGAUGUGACCAUAUAAGGUUAAACUGGUUGGCAGGCCGAACCAGCUGCAGACUGGCAUUAGAUUUUCUGUUUCCCAUCAGAUCUGGAGAUCUGCUGGAUUCUUACUGUCUGUCUCAGAGAUCCAGCAGAUCUCCAGCCUGGAAGCCAACAAGCUGCUUGGAGGAAACAGAGAGAGUGAGUGAAAGCCAAAGCAGUGAUGGAGAUACUUUUACCCAGAAUGCAUUGUGGCGCCUUGCAGAGGGUCAGAUGUGACAGGAUGGUGGACUGGUAGCACUGGUUUUCCUCCCAGUUGGUGACUGGUUGUGUUCUGGUGAACCAGACUGCAGGAAACUUUCUAGAAGUUUCCUGUUCCUCGUGUGCCAGAAACCAGCAGAGCUCUGAAAUAUGGCAACACUGUUACCUAGCAACAAGAAGGUCGCGGUUCGAAUCCCGGCCCAGCUCUUUCUGUGAUGCUCUCUGGGUACUCCAACUCUUACUGGGUUAACUGGGUUAACUGGUCUCUAUGGGCCUGAGAUUAGUGAACCAGAGACAGCUGGAGAGAGAGACAUUGGCACCCCGUGACCCCGUGACCCUGCAUGGUGCAGACGAUGGCUGGGUGGUUAAAGGAAGUGAGCUUCUGAUUUAAUUUCCCCUUUGGAUCCAUAAAGUAUUUUUAUUAUUUUAUUUCCUGACCUUUGACCCAGUUUCUGUCAGAAGCUGAAAACAUGAAAAGCUUCAGCCGUCCAGCCAACAUCAGCUCCACCUUAAAUAUUUUAAACGAGUCGUUUUUAUUGUCACUUUGGGGAAAAGGUGCAGCAGCCAUUAUGUCCUGUAACACUUGUGGUAAAUUUCAAAUCUUCUUCCUGAAACAAAACAACAGUGACUCAUUUCAAAACAAUAACUGCAUGAAUUGCUUUAUGAUUAAAUGAAGAGCAGAGUUCCUGAAGCUCAGCAGGAAAAAGGUUGAAACAAACAGAGGAGUGAGUCAAACCUGCCCAGGUUUAUUAUUAGCAAACCAUCUUUUCCUUUUGCCUGAAAGGAAAAGCUUUCAGGUGUUUCUCUGAAGGAAGUGGUUCUGUGGCUCAGUGGACCCAACCGGAGCUUAUCAGAGGAUCCUGGACGUCUGCCAGACAAACCGCUGCUUUCCUCUGGGCUCACACACCAAAACAGGGUUAACACACAAAACGGACGUGUUUUAUGAGUUAAUUAUGGAGUAAAGAAGGUCAAUUAUUAUGUGAACGGAGCUUUGCAGGGAAAUUUUCCAGCAACCUGACGGCCGGACACUGAGGAACAAAAACAUCCAUCGCUGAUUCCCAUCAUGACUCACCUCAGGCUUCCUCAUAUUUCUCCAUAAACGCUGUUUGAUGGUAAGUGGCCUAAAGGAAACAAAGCCGUUUUAUGAUUAAUGGUAAACUCGAUAACCUUUGACCUCUCUCCUUCGGUGCAGCCCAGGAACGCUAAAAUAUGUUCCAAGUGGUUUAUUAAAGGAAGUUAAAUAUACUUCACAUCUGAUUUAUUAUGAGGAAUGGAUUAUUAAUGCAUUGAAACUUCAUCUGACCCUGAUCAGAGGCCAGAGGUCGUCUUUAACCCGCAUGCUGACCCUCGAGGAUCGAUGAGGAUCAAUGAGGAUCAAUGAGGAUCGAUGAGGAUCAAUGAGCUCAGCAGCUCAUCUGUCCUCUGCUGACUGAAGACGUUCAGCAGCAGUAACAGAAUGUCUUCAGUCAGAGGCUUCUUAAGUUGUGCUGCAAUACAGACUGCUGCAGGAGAUCUUUCCUGCCAACAGCCGUCAGUGUCUAUAUGUCUUGAAGAAUUUGAAUUAAAAUGAGUUACAACAACACUUAUUUUCCCUUUGGGAUCAAUGAAGUAUUUCUGGAUUUGAACAUCUGCAGCUCGUUUCCUCCAUCAGCUCCACCUGCAGCCGAUCCGACCCGGAUCCUCGGCGCCCUGUGCUCGGCGCCCUGCGCUCUGCGCCCGGUGCCCUGCGCCUGGCACCCUGCGCUCACUGCAGCAGGUCGGCUUCGUUUCCCUGGAACAGCAGACUCCUGUGGGGUCAUGACCUCCUGUGGGGUCAUGACCUCCAACACACUGAAUCUCUCGCUGAUGACCUGGAUGUGGAAACCCAGCAGGAGAACCAAGCGAUGCAGCUUGAAUGUUUCCUGUCCAGGUGAUUUUCUGCAGCUACAAAAUACCAGGAGGAAAAUCACACGUUCAUCAGUCAGAGACGAGCAAACUUCUUCAUGGUGGACUCAACCAGAACAUCUGGGUUUGAAACCGACAACCUGCUGCAGGAGGAGAUCUGAGCAACCGGAGCUGAUCGGUUUCCUGCGUCUUCAGAAGAUCUGGGUUCACCUGCAGCGUUCAGACACCCAGCUGUGAUGAUUAAAGUCUGUUUCUAAAGGUUCACAGAAACCUUCAGUGAAAAUCUCAUUUCUGAUGGGUUGCCAGGUUGAACACAGAGACGCAUUGUUCCAACAUCUGGGGAAGUUUUAUUUGUCUUCAGGAGAAACCAGGCAGAUGCUCAGAAACACCAGGAACUUUCAGAAGCAGAAGCAUAAAUUAGGUUUCCGUUCCCUCGUCUUACUGUAACAGACGUGAUGCAAGAAGCUGCUGCUAAGCUAACGAUCAGGCUUCAGUCUGACUGAACAGGAAACUCACUUUCUGCCUCCCGGCGACAAACGAAGCCGGUUCUGCAGCUCAGGAGAGGCGGACAGAUCAAACAUCCAGGCCCUCAAUGUUUGAACUCUGGCGCUAACAAUUUAGCGCAUUAGCUUUAGCUUCCGGUAAUGUUUUCAUGUGACUAUAUGAUUAUAUGAUUCUUGUUUAGUGAUUUAUUGGUUAUUGAACGUCACUUUUUAGUUAGCGGUGGCUAAUAACUGCUUUA